AAUGAACGCUGGCGGAAGGCCUAACACAUGCAAGUCGAUCGGCAGAAUGGUCUUUGCUUGCCUAUCCAGGGGGGGCGGGGGGGUCACGCGUAAGGAACUUGCCCGGCAGUCAGGGAUAACGGGCGGAAACGGGUGAUAAUACCGUAUAAAUUCAGACGGACUCAGGGCGAGACCUAGGAAACUACAGACUUCAGGAGAGCCUUAGGGCCGAUUACCUAUUUGUUGGGGUAAGGGCCAACCACGGCGCGGAUCGGUAGCCGGCCGGGGGGGUUGAACGGCCAGGCUGGAGCGGAGACACGGUCCAGAGUCGUACGGGAGGCAGCAGUUGGGAAUAUUGGACGAUGGGCGGAAGCCUGAUGCAGCCAUGCCGCGUGCGUGAAGAAGGACUUCGGUGUGUAAAGCGCUUUUUUUUGGAAGGAAAAGCAGUAAGUUAAGACCAGGCUGUUAUGACGGUACCUGCAGAAUAAGCGCCGGCUAACUUCGUG
rnacentral:rRNA from 1 species